rnacentral:rRNA from 1 species
AGAAUCAACGCUGGCGGCGUGCCUAACACAUGCAAGUCGAACGAGAAGGUGGGAGCAAUCCCACGAGUAAAGUGGCGCACGGGUGAGUAACACGUGACUAACCUACCCUUGAGUGGGGGAUAACCUAGGGAAACCUGGGCUAAUACCGCAUAAUACCUACGGGUCAAAGGAGCAAUUCGCUUUAGGAGGGGGUCGCGGCAGAUUAGUUAGUUGGCGGGGUAAUGGCCCACCAAGACAGUGAUCUGUA